GAUGAACGCUGGCGGCGUGCCUAAUACAUGCAAGUCGAGCGAACGGACGAGAAGCUUGCUUUUCUGAUGUUAGCGGCGGACGGGUGAGUAACACGUGGAUAACCUACCUAUAAGACUGGGAUAACUUCGGGAAACCGGAGCUAAUACCGGAUAAUAUUUUGAACCGCAUGGUUCAAAAGUGAAAGACGGUCUUGCUGUCACUUAUGGAUGGAUCCGCGCUGCAUUAGCUAGUUGGUAAGGUAACGGCUUACCAAGGCAACGAUGCAUAGCCGACCUGAGAGGGUGAUCGGCCACACUGGAACUGAGACACGGUCCAGACUCCUACGGGAGGCAGCAGUAGGGAAUCUUCCGCAAUGGGUGAAAGCCUGACGGAGCAACGCCGCGUGAGUGAUGAAGGUCUUCGGAUCGUAAAACUCUGUUAUUAGGGAAGAACAUAUGUGUAAGUAACUGUGCACAUCUUGACGGUACCUAAUCAGAAAGCCACGGCUAACUACGUG
rnacentral:rRNA from 1 species